UGAAGCUGCCAGCAUGAUCUAAACUUACCUACAAAUUUAUAUUGAGGCAAGAUCAGAUCAUGUGGUUGCUUCACC